AUUGAACGCUGGCGGCAGGCCUAACACAUGCAAGUCGAACGGUAGCACAGAGAGCUUGCUCUCGGGUGACGAGUGGCGGACGGGUGAGUAACGUCUGGGAAACUGCCCGAUGGAGGGGGAUAACUACUGGAAACGGUAGCUAAUACCGCAUAACGUCGCAAGACCAAAGUGGGGGACCUUCGGGCCUCACACCAUCGGAUGUGCCCAGAUGGGAUUAGCUAGUAGGUGGGGUAAUGGCUCACCUAGGCGACGAUCCCUAGCUGGUCUGAGAGGAUGAACAGCCACAUGGGAACUGAGACACGGUCCAGACUCCUACGGGAGGCAGCAGUGGGGAAUAUUGCACAAUGGGCGCAAGCCUGAUGAAGCCAUGCCGCGUGUAUGAAGAAGGCCUUCGGGUUGUAAAGUACUUUCAGCGGGGAGGAAGGCGGUGGAGUUAAUAACUUCACCGAUUGACGUUACCCGCAGAAGAAGCACCGGCUAACUCCGUGCCAGCCGCCGCGGUAA
rnacentral:rRNA from 1 species